rnacentral:Y_RNA from 1 species
GGCUGGUCUGAAGGUAGUGAGUUAUCUCACUUGAUUGUUCACAGUUAUAGAUCAAACUUCUUGUUCUACUCUUUCCCCUCUUCUCACUACUGUACUUGACUAGUCUUUG